AAUAGACCAAUUUUUCACUUUUUAUAUACAAUUUUUGACUCUUCGUCUUAUUAAAAAAAAUUUGUGAUUGAUAUUUUUGUUUUUAUUAGAUGAUAAAUCAUAAAUAGUAUUUUACGUGUGACUAAUUUUUUUUUAAUUUUCUAAAAAUUUUUUAAAUAAAACGGAUGCUCAAACGUUGAACACGAAACCG
rnacentral:pre_miRNA from 1 species